UUAGCAUGGAAUAAUGGAAUAGGACAAUGGUUCUAUUUUGUUGGUUAUAAGCCAUCGUAAUGAUUAAUAGGGACGGUCGGGGGCAUCAGUAUUCAGUAGUCAGAGGUGAAAUUCUUAGAUUUACUGAAGACUAACUACUGCGAAAGCAUUUGCCAAGGACGUUUUCAUUAAUCAAGAACGAAAGUUAGGGGAUCGAAGAUGAUCAGAUACCGUCGUAGUCUUAACCAUAAACUAUGCCGACUAGGGAUCGGGCGCGCUCACUACAGACGCGCUCGGCACCUUACGAGAAAUCAAAGUUUUUGGGUUCUGGGGGGAGUAUGGUCGCAAGGCUGAAACUUAAAGGAAUUGACGGAAGGGCACCACCAGGAGUGGAGCCUGCGGCUUAAUUUGACUCAACACGGGGAAACUCACCAGGUCCAGACACAAUAAGGAUUGACAGAUUGAGAGCUCUUUCUUGAUUUUGUGGGUGGUGGUGCAUGGCCGUUCUUAGUUGGUGGAGUGAUUUGUCUGCUUAAUUGCGAUAACGAACGAGACCUUGGCCUCUAACUAGGGGGCGCAGCGGUAGCUACGCGACCUUCUUAGGGGGACUAUUGAUGUAAGUCGAUGGAAGUUCGAGGCAAUAACAGGUCUGUGAUGCCCUUAGACGUUCUGGGCCGCACGCGCGCUACACUGACGGAGGCAGCGAGUUGACCUUUGCCGAGAGGCAUGGGAAAUCUUAAAACUCCGUCGUGCUGGGGAUAGAGCAUUGCAAUA
rnacentral:rRNA from 1 species